UCAGGACAGUUUCCAAGUACAGAAGAGGGAUCCCCAAUGUUCUGGCCUCAGGUGGCUGUCCAGUCCAGCUUCCUGAGAACCUGCUGCCUUGUGCCUCUUGCAGCAGACUGGUACGAUGCAGAGAGAGGCUCUUCCCUGACCAGGGUCUCAGGUUUUGGAGUCGACCCUUUCACAACAGAAGAGGCGAGACGACAGG